GGGUGUCACAAGCAGCACCACGUACCUCACAAAUCUUUCUGUCAGCUGAUUUACGAAAUCAAGUAUCUCUAGCCAGUUCGGCGCCACGCUCCCAGACCUACAAGGGAAAACCAGAGCACAUCAGCGGCCUGAUCUGGGGUGACAUUUCGGGGAGAAACCGACCAUAUUCGCGGUUCCAGACAUCACCUCGAGGUACCCGCGGCUCUCGCUGGCUGCGGGGGUGAAUCAGACUGCAAAAAGGAUCUUGGUUUUCCCUCCGCAGGAAGAGAUGGGGAAGUCAGAGUCAUCCUGCUGGAGAGUUUUCCUGUCGUCUCACUUCAGCCCCGUUCCUGCUGUCUCUGGAUGGUUCGCUGUAGCCACGGCGCUCUGACCUGACACAUCCGUGUCACAGUGCCUUCUCCACACCGAUCCCAACGCCGAGCCAAGCCUCCACAUGAUGCAAGUUGGAAACUUUACCAGAGCCCGUGGACCAGCAGUGAAUAAUGUCAGCCAGAGAUCUCGCUCACAAAGUUCUUAAUGCCUUUGAGCUAGCAAGGCCAAAGAGUCUGGGAUCGCCCUUCUGCCAAAUGAUCCAGGGGCAGCAUGGAAUGGGACAGCUCCACAACCCUGGCACCAGCCAGCGCUUCCAGACACCCUGAGCUGUGCAAACACCAGGACAGGUGAUGAUCAUGAUGGGGAGCCUUGAGCCAGAGCAGUUCACAGAAAAUAUUUUUCUUCUCCCCUCACAGGAUAUGAACCACACUUUGGAAGUCUCAUGCUUUGUAAAGGAAAGAGAAACCAGAGGGGCUCCAGCAGUUACACAACAUGCAGGAGCUCUUUGAGAGCUGCCUCCUGAAGGAUUAGCUGCAAAUCCUUGUUCCCAUUACAGCUGAAGCCUUGUGUCUGUGAGCAUCCUGUAAAGCAGUGUAGAAAUGAAUAAAUAAAAAGGACAGCAUUAAGUAACACAGAAA